CCUACGGGAGGCAGCAGUGAGGAAUAUUGGUCAAUGGACGCAAGUCUGAACCAGCCAUGCCGCGUGCAGGAAGACGGCUCUAUGAGUUGUAAACUGCUUUUGUACGAGGGUAAACGCAGAUACGCGUAUCUGUCUGAAAGUAUCGUACGAAUAAGGAUCGGCUAACUCCGUGCCAGCAGCCGCGGUAAUACGGAGGAUUCAAGCGUUAUCCGGAUUUAUUGGGUUUAAAGGGUGCGUAGGCGGUCGGAUAAGUUAGAGGUGAAAUCCCGAGGCUCAACUUCGGAAUUGCCUCUGAUACGGUGCGGCUAGAGCGUAGUUGCGGUAGGCGGAAUGUAUGGUGUAGCGGUAAAAUGCUUAGAGAUCAUACAGAACACCGAUUGCGAAGGCAGCUUACCAAGCUACUUCUGACGUUGAGGCGCGAAAGCGUGGGGAGCAAACAGGAUUAGAUACCCCUGUAGUC
rnacentral:rRNA from 1 species